UACGUAGGGCGCAAGCGUUGUCCGGAAUUAUUGGGCGUAAAGAGCUCGUAGGCGGUCUGUCGCGUCUGUUGUGAAAACUCAGGGCUUAACCCUGAGCUUGCAGUGGGUACGGGCAGACUAGAGUGCGGUAGGGGAGACUGGAAUUCCUGGUGUAGCGGUGAAAUGCGCAGAUAUCAGGAGGAACACCCGUGGCGAAGGCGGCUCUCGUGGGACGGUACUGACGCUGAGACGCGAAAGCGUGGGGAGCAAACAGG
rnacentral:rRNA from 1 species